rnacentral:rRNA from 1 species
GGUUAAGCGACUAAGCGUACACGGUGGAUGCCCUGGCAGUCAGAGGCGAUGAAGGACGUGCUAAUCUGCGAUAAGCGUCGGUGAGGUGAUAUGAACCGUUAUAACCGGCGAUUUCCGAAUGGGGAAACCCAGUGUGUUUCGACACACUAUCAUUAACUGAAUCCAUAGGUUAAUGAGGCGAACCGGGGGAACUGAAACAUCUAAGUACCCCGAGGAAAAGAAAUCAACCGAGAUUCCCCCAGUAGCGGCGAGCGAACGGGGAGGAGCCCAGAGCCUGAAUCAGUGUGUGUGUUAGUGGAAGCGUCUGGAAAGGCGCGCGAUACAGGGUGACAGCCCCGUACACAAAAAUGCACAUGCUGUGAGCUCGAUGAGUAGGGCGGGACACGUGGUAUCCUGUCUGAAUAUGGGGGGACCAUCCUCCAAGGCUAAAUACUCCUGACUGACCGAUAGUGAACCAGUACCGUGAGGGAAAGGCGAAAAGAACCCCGGCGAGGGGAGUGAAAAAAGAACCUGAAACCGUGUACGUACAAGCAGUGGGAGCCUCUUAAUGGGGUGACUGCGUACCUUUUGUAUAAUGGGUCAGCGACUUAUAUUCUGUAGCAAGGUUAACCGAAUAGGGGAGCCGAAGGGAAACCGAGUCUUAACUGGGCGUUAAGUUGCAGGGUAUAGACCCGAAACCCGGUGAUCUAGCCAUGGGCAGGUUGAAGGUUGGGUAACACUAACUGGAGGACCGAACCGACUAAUGUUGAAAAAUUAGCGGAUGACUUGUGGCUGGGGGUGAAAGGCCAAUCAAACCGGGAGAUAGCUGGUUCUCCCCGAAAGCUAUUUAGGUAGCGCCUCGUGAAUUCAUCUCCGGGGGUAGAGCACUGUUUCGGCAAGGGGGUCAUCCCGACUUACCAACCCGAUGCAAACUGCGAAUACCGGAGAAUGUUAUCACGGGAGACACACGGCGGGUGCUAACGUCCGUCGUGAAGAGGGAAACAACCCAGACCGCCAGCUAAGGUCCCAAAGUCAUGGUUAAGUGGGAAACGAUGUGGGAAGGCCCAGACAGCCAGGAUGUUGGCUUAGAAGCAGCCAUCAUUUAAAGAAAGCGUAAUAGCUCACUGGUCGAGUCGGCCUGCGCGGAAGAUGUAACGGGGCUAAACCAUGCACCGAAGCUGCGGCAGCGACACUAUGUGUUGUUGGGUAGGGGAGCGUUCUGUAAGCCUGUGAAGGUGGCCUGUGAGGGUUGCUGGAGGUAUCAGAAGUGCGAAUGCUGACAUAAGUAACGAUAAAGCGGGUGAAAAGCCCGCUCGCCGGAAGACCAAGGGUUCCUGUCCAACGUUAAUCGGGGCAGGGUGAGUCGACCCCUAAGGCGAGGCCGAAAGGCGUAGUCGAUGGGAAACAGGUUAAUAUUCCUGUACUUGGUGUUACUGCGAAGGGGGGACGGAGAAGGCUAUGUUGGCCGGGCGACGGUUGUCCCGGUUUAAGCGUGUAGGCUGGUUUUCCAGGCAAAUCCGGAAAACCAAGGCUGAGGCGUGAUGACGAGGCACUACGGUGCUGAAGUGACAAAUGCCCUGCUUCCAGGAAAAGCCUCUAAGCAUCAGGUAACAUCAAAUCGUACCCCAAACCGACACAGGUGGUCAGGUAGAGAAUACCAAGGCGCUUGAGAGAACUCGGGUGAAGGAACUAGGCAAAAUGGUGCCGUAACUUCGGGAGAAGGCACGCUGAUAUGUAGGUGAAGCGACUUGCUCGUGGAGCUGAAAUCAGUCGAAGAUACCAGCUGGCUGCAACUGUUUAUUAAAAACACAGCACUGUGCAAACACGAAAGUGGACGUAUACGGUGUGACGCCUGCCCGGUGCCGGAAGGUUAAUUGAUGGGGUUAGCGGUAACGCGAAGCUCUUGAUCGAAGCCCCGGUAAACGGCGGCCGUAACUAUAACGGUCCUAAGGUAGCGAAAUUCCUUGUCGGGUAAGUUCCGACCUGCACGAAUGGCGUAAUGAUGGCCAGGCUGUCUCCACCCGAGACUCAGUGAAAUUGAACUCGCUGUGAAGAUGCAGUGUACCCGCGGCAAGACGGAAAGACCCCGUGAACCUUUACUAUAGCUUGACACUGAACAUUGAGCCUUGAUGUGUAGGAUAGGUGGGAGGCUUUGAAGUGUGGACGCCAGUCUGCAUGGAGCCGACCUUGAAAUACCACCCUUUAAUGUUUGAUGUUCUAACGUUGGCCCCUAAUCGGGGUUGCGGACAGUGUCUGGUGGGUAGUUUGACUGGGGCGGUCUCCUCCUAAAGAGUAACGGAGGAGCACGAAGGUUGGCUAAUCCUGGUCGGACAUCAGGAGGUUAGUGCAAUGGCAUAAGCCAGCUUGACUGCGAGCGUGACGGCGCGAGCAGGUGCGAAAGCAGGUCAUAGUGAUCCGGUGGUUCUGAAUGGAAGGGCCAUCGCUCAACGGAUAAAAGGUACUCCGGGGAUAACAGGCUGAUACCGCCCAAGAGUUCAUAUCGACGGCGGUGUUUGGCACCUCGAUGUCGGCUCAUCACAUCCUGGGGCUGAAGUAGGUCCCAAGGGUAUGGCUGUUCGCCAUUUAAAGUGGUACGCGAGCUGGGUUUAGAACGUCGUGAGACAGUUCGGUCCCUAUCUGCCGUGGGCGCUGGAGAACUGAGGGGGGCUGCUCCUAGUACGAGAGGACCGGAGUGGACGCAUCACUGGUGUUCGGGUUGUCAUGCCAAUGGCACUGCCCGGUAGCUAAAUGCGGAAGAGAUAAGUGCUGAAAGCAUCUAAGCACGAAACUUGCCCCGAGAUGAGUUCUCCCUGAGACUUAGAGUCUCCUGAAGGAACGUUGAAGACGACGACGUUGAUAGGCCGGGUGUGUAAGCGCAGCGAUGCGUUGAGCUAACCGGUACUAAUGAACCGUGAGGCUUAACCUU